rnacentral:rRNA from 1 species
AACGAACGCUGGCGGCAGGCUUAACACAUGCAAGUCGAACGAGCUGGGGCCUUCGGGUCCCGAUGCUAGUGGCGCACGGGUGAGUAACGCGUGGGAACGUACCCUUUAGUACGGAAUAACUGAGGGAAACUUCAGCUAAUACCGUAUACGCCCUUCGGGGAAGAUUAUCGCUAAAGGAAUCGGCCCGCCGUCUGAUUAGGUAGUUGGUGAGGUAAUGGCUCACCAGGCCUACGAUCAGUAGCUGGUCUGAGAGGAUGAUCAGCCACACUGGGACUGAGACACGGCCCAGACUCCUACGGGAGGCAGCAGUGGGGAAGUAUUGGACAAUGGGGGAAACCCGUGAUCCAGCCAUGCCGCGUGAGUGAAGAAGGCC